rnacentral:rRNA from 1 species
CCUACGGGAGGCAGCAGUGGGGAAUUUUGGACAAUGGACGCAAGUCUGAUCCAGCCAUGCCGCGUGCGGGAAGAAGGCCUUCGGGUUGUAAACCGCUUUUGUCAGGGAAGAAAAGGUUCUGGUUAAUACCUGGGACUCAUGACGGUACCUGAAGAAUAAGCACCGGCUAACUACGUGCCAGCAGCCGCGGUAAUACGUAGGGUGCAAGCGUUAAUCGGAAUUACUGGGCGUAAAGCGUGCGCAGGCGGUUAUGCAAGACAGAGGUGAAAUCCCCGGGCUCAACCUGGGAACUGCCUUUGUGACUGCAUAGCUAGAGUACGGUAGGGGGGGAUGGAAUUCCGCGUGUAGCAGUGAAAUGCGUAGAUAUGCGGAGGAACACCGAUGGCGAAGGCAAUCCCCUGGACCUGUACUGACGCUCAUGCACGAAAGCGUGGGGAGCAAACAGGAUUAGAUACCCUGGUAGUCCACGCCCUAAACGAUGUCAACUGGUUGUUGGGAGGGUUUCUUCUCAGUACGUAGCUAACGCGUGAAGUUGACCGCCGNGGGAGGUACGGCCGGCGAGGUUAAGGUAACGUACGAAGUUAGUAAGUUAGUUACGGCGUUGAGACGNGCGACGGACGACGACGAGGGAGGAGG